rnacentral:rRNA from 1 species
AUUGAACGCUGGCGGCAUGCCUUACACAUGCAAGUCGAACGGUAACAGGUCUUCGGAUGCUGACGAGUGGCGAACGGGUGAGUAAUACAUCGGAACGUGCCUAGUAGUGGGGGAUAACUACUCGAAAGAGUGGCUAAUACCGCAUGAGAUCUACGGAGGAAAGCAGGGGAUCGCAAGACCUUGUGCUACUAGAGCGGCCGAUGGCAGAUUAGGUAGUUGGUGGGAUAAAAGCUUACCAAGCCGAUGAUCUGUAGCUGGUCUGAGAGGACGAUCAGCCACACUGGGACUGAGACACGGCCCAGACUCCUACGGGAGGCAGCAGUGGGGAAUUUUGGACAAUGGGCGCAAGCCUGAUCCAGCAAUGCCGCGUGCAGGAUGAAGGCCUUCGGGUUGUAAACUGCUUUUGUACGGAACGAAAGGCCCUGGGUUAAUACCCUGGGGUCAUGACGGUACCGUAAGAAUAAGCACCGGCUAACUACGUGCCAGCCGCCGCGGUAA